rnacentral:rRNA from 1 species
GCAGGUGUAUCUAGCGUUGUGGAACCACUACGACUCCAUCCCGAACUCGUGGGUGAAACACAGCAGCAGCGACGAUACUACGGGGGUAGCCCCUUGGGACAAUAGUUCUAUGCCUGCC